GCCCCGGUAGCUCAGCGGACAGAGCGAGGGACUUCUAAUCCCUAGGUCGCAGGUUCGAAUCCUGCCCGGGGCG
rnacentral:tRNA from 1 species